UACGAAGGGGGCUAGCGUUGCUCGGAAUCACUGGGCGUAAAGCGCACGUAGGCGGCUUCUCAAGUCAGGGGUGAAAUCCUGGAGCUCAACUCCAGAACUGCCUUUGAUACUGAGAAGCUUGAGUCCGGGAGAGGUGAGUGGAACUGCGAGUGUAGAGGUGAAAUUCGUAGAUAUUCGCAAGAACACCAGUGGCGAAGGCGGCUCACUGGCCCGGUACUGACGCUGAGGUGCGAAAGCGUGGGGAGCAAACAGG
rnacentral:rRNA from 1 species